GACGAACGCUGGCGGCGUGCUUAACACAUGCAAGUGGAGCGACGAACCAGGGCUUGCCCUGGGGCAGAGCCGCGAACGGGUGAGUAACACGUGGGUAACCUACCCCGAUGACCGGGACAACCCGAGGAAACUCGGGCUAAUACCGGAUGUUCUCGCUUCCUCCAAGGGAAUCGAGCAAAGAUAGCUUCGGCCUUCGCAUCGGGACGGGCCCGCGGCCCAUUAGCUUGUUGGUGGGGUAACGGCCUACCAAGGCUGCGAUGGGUAGCUGGUCUGAGAGGACGAUCAGCCACACUGGGACUGAGACACGGCCCAGACUCCUACGGGAGGCAGCAGUGGGGAAUCUUGCGCAAUGCGCGAAAGCGUGACGCAGCAACGCCGCGUGGGGGAAGAAGGCCUUCGGGUUGUAAACCCCUUUCAGUUGGGACGAAGCUUCCAGUGUUAAUAGCGCUGUGGAGUGACGGUACCUUCACAAGAAGCCCCGGCUAACUACGUGCCAGCAGCCGCGGUAAUACGUAGGGGGCAAGCGUUAAUCGGAAUUACUGGGCGUAAAGCGUGCGCAGGCGGUUUUGUAAGUCUGUCGUGAAAUCCCCGGGCUCAACCUGGGAAUGGCGAUGGAGACUGCAAGGCUAGAGUUUGGCAGAGGGGGGUAGAAUUCCACGUGUAGCAGUGAAAUGCGUAGAUAUGUGGAGGAACACCGAUGGCGAAGGCAGCCCCCUGGGUCAAAACUGACGCUCAUGCACGAAAGCGUGGGUAGCAAACAGGAUUAGAUACCCUGGUAGUCCACGCCCUAAACGAUGUCUACUAGUUGUCGGG
rnacentral:rRNA from 1 species